GGCGGCGUGCCUAAUACAUGCAAGUAGAACGCUGAAGAGAGGAGCUUGCUCUUCUUGGAUGAGUUGCGAACGGGUGAGUAACGCGUAGGUAACCUGCCUGGUAGCGGGGGAUAACUAUUGGAAACGAUAGCUAAUACCGCAUGAAAUUGCUUAUCGCAUGAUAAUUAAUUGAAAGAUGCAAUUGCAUCACUACCAGAUGGGCCUGCGUUGUAUUAGCUAGUUGGUGAGGUAACGGCUCACCAAGGCGACGAUACAUAGCCGACCUGAGAGGGUGAUCGGCCACACUGGGACUGAGACACGGCCCAGACUCCUACGGGAGGCAGCAGUAGGGAAUCUUCGGCAAUGGGGGGAACCCUGACCGAGCAACGCCGCGUGAGUGAAGAAGGUUUUCGGAUCGUAAAGCUCUGUUGUAAGAGAAGAACGGGUGUGAGAGUGGAAAGUUCACACUGUGACGG
rnacentral:rRNA from 1 species